rnacentral:rRNA from 1 species
GGACGGGUGAGUAAUGCGUAGGAAUCUGCCUGUUGGAGGGGGAUAGCCUAGGGAAACUUAGGGUAAUACCGCGUAAGACCGAAAGGUGAAAGCUGGGGACCGAAAGGCCUGGCGCCGACAGAUGAGCCUGCGUCGGAUUAGCUAGUUGGUAGGGUAAUGGCCUACCAAGGCGACGAUCCGUAGCUGGUCUGAGAGGAUGACCAGCCACACUGGGACUGAGACACGGCCCAGACUCC